AAUGUGCGGGAAGCAGGGGGAGUGUAAUUCCUGUGACUCACACAGGAAAAUCAUGCUGUUUACCCAAAUUUGCAGAAUCUGAGAGAGAGAGAUUGCAGCUACAUUUUAUUUACUAGAUAAUAACGUACAGGGCUGCUGAAAACCAACUAGCUUACCUUGGUUUAAACCCAGCAGUAAAGAUGCAGGCUGUCAACAUAAAACAGGAAGUUUUAGAACCUGUCCACAUUAAGGAGGAGCCUGCUGACCUAGAACCUGUGCAGUUUGCAAAGGAUAUCAGUGAACUGGGAUUAAUCCAUUUUAAAGAGGAGACCCCAGAAGCUGUAUUAAGUAACAGCAUGGGUCCCAAUACUGAAGAGGAGACUGAGAUGGGUCCCACUCCAUUUAAACACCCCAUCCAAAUACAUCCCUCCUUACAAUCAAGAAAUGGUUCGACAGUGAAUCCAGUAUCUGAUAACCAUUCACAAACUGCUGGCAACUUCCAUCAGUGUGCUGAAUGUGGAAAGUGUUUCAGUCUCUUAAAAUCGCUCAAACGGCACUUACGAACUCACACGGACGGGAAGCCGUAUCGCUGUAUAGAAUGUGGGAAGAAUUUCAAGAAGAUAAACGACCUUAAAAAGCAUCUGGGAAGUCACACUGGAGCGAAACCGCAUUCCUGUACGGAGUGUGGGAAGAGCUUUAGGGAUUUCUACAAUCUUAAAAUCCACCAGAGAAUUCACACGGGAGAGAAACCGCUACGCUGUCCAGAUUGUGGGAAGAGUUUCCGACAUUUAAAUAGCUUUAAAAUUCACCAGCAAGUUCAUACGGGAGAGAAACCGUUUCACUGUACGGAAUGUGGGAAGAAUUUUAAUCUGUUAGGAAACCUUAACGAGUUCAUAAAUAAAACUGGAAUGUAAAUAAUAAUAAUAAUAAUAAUAAUUUGUCCCUUGACUUUUUGUGGUGGAUUUGUUGUCUGUGUUACCCCACCCUCUGCUUAACCCUGUAAUGCUUAGCCACUCUGCUGUAGUAUUAUCUUUGAAAUCCAGCCUCACAGUCCAGUAUUUUUCAUAUGCAGUACAUUGUGUUGCCAGACAUGAACAAAAAAAGUAGCUUUUCUCAUUGGGCAUUGGCCAUUAAAAAAUACAUAUCUGAAAGGACUGUUUUAAAAUAAGUAGGCUUCCAUUUAGAUGUAUUGGCUUUGUUGGUACAGUACUAUAAUUUCAACAUUAGUAUUUUAAUUCAGGACGAUAGGAUUCUGAAAAUAUCACUUGCCAAAAUUAAAGAGACGACAUGUUAACUGUAAUACAGGACAUACUUUGAAAUCCGGUACAUACUGUAGCAGUGUGUAAAAUUCCUCGUUAAGGACCCAACAGCAAAAUAAAUUCAAAAUGUUAUCCAGAAUUUAAAACAGUAUCCCAAGUCAGUAUUCGAAAUUGCAGAAUAUAUUGCUCGAUAAGGCCCUGAGGAGUUUGAAUACAUUUGCACCCGACUCUAAGUGCUGCAGGUAAUACUGUUGGAACAGAAGAGACUCAUUGGAUCCAGUGUCCUUCUGAAAGUCAGCUGGCCUGGUCUCUAUGACAACCAGGGCCCCUUUCUUGAGUUAAUGAUAACUGUGCUGCGCCUUCAAAAAUAUAUAUACCCAGAAUGAGAAAGGGAGACUAGUUUGGUAACCAUAACAACACGGAUAAAUUUGAGGCCCACUAAAGAGCUGCUAAUUCAAGAAUAAUAAGAAGAACAUAAGAAAGUUUACAAACGAGAGGAGGCCAUUCAGCCCAUCUUGCUCGUUUGGUAGCUUAUUGAUCCCAGAAUCCCAUCAAGCAGCUUCUUGAAGGAUCCAGGGUGUCAGCUUCAACAACAUUACCAGAGAGUUGGUUCCAGACCCUCACAAUUCUCUGUGUAAAAACGUGCCUCCUAUUUUCUGUUCUGAAUGCCCCUUUAUCUAAUCUCCAUUUGUGACCCCUGGUCCUUGUUUCUUUUUUCAGGUCGAAAAAGUCCCCUUUUAAACCCAGGAUAAUUCUGGUUGCUGUUAGAAAUAUAAUUUAAUUAACAGAGAAGAGAAACAAACCAAGCUAACAACUAUGUAGCCUAAAUAGAAUUUUUCUAUUUUUUGCAAUCAACUGCGGGUUCUGUUGGAUUCACGGCACUGAUAGCGUUUUAAAACGCGCUCUAAAUUAUCACAACAGCGCGGACCAUGGGUCAAACCAAUGUUUGUGUAGGGUGCGGUGUAUCUUUUUUUAUUAUCAAUGUCGGCCUUCUGGAGUCGUCUGAAUGCCUUUCCACUUUUUAUUUAAUUUUAAACAGUAACCGUAACAAAACAUUGAAUCAUAUUGCAAAUACAAAGAAAAAUGGAUGGACCAAACACACAUCGUCCCGUCUCACCCCCCACCAAAGAGCGGGUGGCACUGUCCUCUCUGCCCUACGGGUUACGUGGAUAUGCAUACAGGCGUAUUUGUGGUUUUUUUUGCACUGCGGUUGCCUUUAAUGUAUUUUUCUGCACAUAUUACUCGUUUGUAUAUGAUGUAGAAUAUGUGUUUAUAAAAUCUAGCACCAUUACGUACAAUACUCUUUCAAAUAAACGUGUUAUGAUUUUGAAUGCGCGCUUCUUAAGAACGCUAUUAUUGUCAUUGCUCGCGACCCGGCACCUCUUUCUUUACACAUUAAGCUCUGCGAACCAGGACAGUCUAGUGAUAAGACAAAUUAGUGAAACGUCUGAUCACAGUGCCCCAUAACUAAUAUAAUCAACCUUAUUUCUCAAUUUUAAAAAAUAAUUACGUGUGUCCAGUGCACGAGAAUACGAAAGAAUGCAGAAACGCAAUUGGCUAGGGACUUUCCAGCUCG